GGGUGUUGUGCCUUUUUGACCUUUCCAAGGACACGUGACCUUCAACUAUUAUUGUCGGGCCCAACCACUACAAUUAUUUACAAAUUACGAGGGAAGACAACAACUUCCAUACCUCCAACACGUGACACUUGUCCCUUUACUUUUAUACGUGUCAUUAUCCCUACGCAUUCCCCCUCUCUUCCAUCUCUCUCAUUAAUUCCACACUACAUUCGCACUCGCAGUCACAAUCACGCUCCUAACCCUUCUAACAUCUUUUUUUUUUUUUUUUC
rnacentral:lncRNA from 1 species